GCACCUAUAUCUUCUGUAGUUGUUAUAAAAUCCAAUUCCAUUGUUAUCUGUUAUUGACUGUACGCUUCCUUUUGGUCUUUUAUAGCCUUCCAGCUUGCAGCUAGAGUUCCUUGGGUGUUACCUUGCGGAAUUGAGUUUGUUGGAUUAUGGAUAUGUAAAAUUUUUACCAUCCAUUGUUGCUGCUUCUGUUAUCUUCCUUUCAAGAUUUAUAAUUAGACCAAAGAAACAUACUUGGAGCUCUGCCCUGCAACAGCACUCAGGCUACAAAGCAUCUGAUCUAAAAGACUGUGUCCUUAUCAUACAUGAUUUGUAUUUGAGUAGAAGAGGAGGUGCACUUCAUGCAGCUAGAGAUAAAUACAAGCAGCAUAAGUUCAAAUGUGUGGCAAUAAUGCCGGCUUCUCCAGAGAUACAUGCUUCUCAUUUUGAAGAUUUUCAAGUUGAUAUUUCUGAUGUUGAAGUCUUGAAUAUGUUC